GACGUAGGGCGCGAGCGUUGUCCGGAUUUAUUGGGCGUAAAGAGCUCGUAGGCGGCUCGUUGCGUCGGCUGUGAAAACCCGCAGCUCAACUGUGGGCUUGCAGCUGAUACGGGCGGGCUGGGAUUCGGUAGGGGAGACUGGAAUUCCUGGUGUAGCGGUGAAAUGCGCAGAGAUCAGGAGGAACACCGAUGGCGAAAGCAGGUACCUGGACCAUUACUGACGCUCAGAUGCGAAAGCUAGGGGAGCAAACAGG
rnacentral:rRNA from 1 species